UACGUAGGGUGCAAGCGUUAAUCGGAAUUACUGGGCGUAAAGCGUGCGCAGGCGGUUUGUAAGUCUGUUGUGAAAGCCCCGGGCUCAACCUGGGAAUUGCGAUGGAGACUGCAAGGCUUGAAUCUGGCAGAGGGGGGUAGAAUUCCACGUGUAGCAGUGAAAUGCGUAGAGAUGUGGAGGAACACCGAUGGCGAAGGCAGCCCCCUGGGUCAAGAUUGACGCUCAUGCACGAAAGCGUGGGGAGCAAACAGG
rnacentral:rRNA from 1 species